GUCGAGAGGCUUCGGCAAUGGGGGAAACCCUGACCGAGCGACGCCGCGUGGAGGAACGAAGGCCUUCGGGUUGUAAACUCCUGUCAGCUGGGAAGAAAUGCGGCUCGGCUAAUACCCGAGUCGUUUGACGGUACCAGCAGAGGAAGCUCCGGCUAACUCCGUGCCAGCAGCCGCGGUAAUACGGGGGGAGCAAACGUUGUUCGGAUUUACUGGGCGUAAAGGGGGCGUAGGCGGCCAGACAAGUGGGGCGUGAAACGCUCCGGCUCAACCGGAGACCUGCGUUCCAAACUAUCUGGCUUGAGUCCGGGAGGGGAGACGGGAAUUCCUGGUGUAGCGGUGAAAUGCGCAGAUAUCAGGAAGAACACCGGUGGCGAAGGCGCGUCUCUGGACCGGUACUGACGCUGAGGCCCGAAAGCAGGGGGAGCAAACAGGAUUAGAAACCCUAGUAGUCC
rnacentral:rRNA from 1 species